rnacentral:rRNA from 1 species
GAUCCUGGCUCAGGACGAACGCUGGCGGCGUGCCUAAUACAUGCAAGUCGAGCGAGCGGAACUAACAGAUUUACUUCGGUAAUGACGUUAGGAAAGCGAGCGGCGGAUGGGUGAGUAACACGUGGGGAACCUGCCCCAUAGUCUGGGAUACCACUUGGAAACAGGUGCUAAUACCGGAUAAGAAAGCAGAUCGCAUGAUCAGCUUUUAAAAGGCGGCGUAAGCUGUCGCUAUGGGAUGGCCCCGCGG